rnacentral:rRNA from 1 species
AGAGUUUGAUCAUGGCUCAGAUUGAACGCUGGCGGCACGCUUAACACAUGCAAGUCGAGCGGUAACAGGAUUUGUAGCAAUACAAAUUGCUGACGAGCGGCGGACGGGUGAGUAAUACGUAGGAACCUGCCCUUGAGAGUGGGACGACCUGGGGAAACUCGGGCUAAUACCGCAUAUUCUCGUGAGAGGAAAGGCCGCAGCAAUGCGGUCGCUGAAGGAGGGGCUUACGUCCGAUUAGCUAGUUGGUGGGGUAAAAGCUCACCAAGGCGAUGAUCGGUAGCUGGUCUGAGAGGACGACCAGCCACACUGGGACUGAGACACGGCCCAGACUCCUACGGGAGGCAGCAGUGGGGAAUCUUGGACAAUGGGGGCAACCCUGAUCCAGCGAUGCCGCGUGGGUGAAGAAGGCCUUCGGGUUGUAAAGCCCUUUAGGCCGGAAGAAGGUAAUUAGCUAAUAAGUUAGUUGCUUGACUGUACCGGCGGAAUAAGCACCGGCUAACUCUGUGCCAGCAGCCGCGGUAAUAC